rnacentral:lncRNA from 1 species
UUUCUUAAUUCUUCUUCACACUAUCCGUUAUCCACAUAUUAUUUUUCUACUUUCUUCUCUCAUAGUCAUAAAGUCAUAACAUAUAAAUAAGAAAGACGGGACUUACAACUGAGAGACGAGAGUGAUGAAAUCCGAAAGUUGAUUCCACAUAAAAUCGAGGAACUUAAGUAUUUUGCUUCCUGUGUUUCAAGGACAAAAACCAAUUUCGAGCAUUUCAAUUUAAAUGUAUCAAAUUGGUAAAGUUUAAUGGUUAGAAAGAGAAGAGAAAUACCUUCUUUUCUUCCAAUUUGUUGGGGGCCUAAAACAGAGACGGCGGAGAGGCUCACUUCCAAAGUCCAAAAGGCAAAACUGUUUCAUCUUCUUCUUGCCACUUCUUU